rnacentral:lncRNA from 1 species
AAGAGCCACGGGCACCCACGGACGCCCCUUCCGGUGGACGCGGCCACUUCCAGGAACGGGGCCGCAGCCGCUCCCGGCCCCGGGACCCACCACCACCACCAGAAAACAGCCGCCGGAGGCCCCCUCGGCGCCUCCCCUCACAGGCCCAGGCCGCGACCCUCCCGGGGCAGGGCGAGCAGGCCGGCCAAGCCACUCACCAGAGCCGGAGCGCGGCGCGGCCCGUCUGACGGCAGCGAGCAAGGCAGGCGGGUGGCGCGGGCAGCGGUCAGAGAGAUAAUGCUUAUGAAUAAUACCAGCUCCUGUUUUGAAAACAAUCCACAAACACUGGAAGCAGAUGGGCUUUUUGGCAGCAGUCCCUCCUUCCUGUCUGCCACAGAAGUGUGUGCCUAAAAUGAGUUCACCCUCUUCAGCAGCCGAGAUGAAUGCCGCCGUGGAGCAGGUCUGAGCUGUUUUUAGGGGCCUGGCAACAGCAGGCUCUUGAGAAAUGUGGCCUCAUGCGCACAUGAUUCCCGGCAUAGGUAAUUAGAGCUGAUGGUCCAGUUUCCAGAACUAUCCACAAUUACAGAGGAGGCUCCUGUGUGGUCUGGGCUUGCCCGACUCAGUCAUCGUUGUUUCCUGUUUCUCUGGUAAAGGGCCUGCAGAUGCCUGCCAAGAUGAGCACAUGGAGACACCAACUUACCUUAGUAGUUGGCAGAGCGGAAACUGAAACUGCAUUGUUUCAAUUUUUAUCAAGUGUGCGUCCCAACUACUCCUGGGGAGAGUACAUAAAACCUGACCGUUUUGAUCACUUGACUAUGAAAAUAAUAUUUUCAGUUUUCUAGCUGGAUAGAGGAUGCAGGCCCUGAUUUGUAUGACUCUGUGACCUCAGACUUAUUCUGGGCUCCUAGUUUAGCUUCUUUGGACUGACAAGACAUCCACACAAAGGGCCCUGAGGAAUAAAGUGUUAAGAUUCUUGAAAUAUUCUAGGACU